AUGGAAUAAAAAAUAGGAAUACAUAUAAAUCAAACAAAAAAAAGAAACAGGGGGAAAAUAACCAUCCAUUAUAAAAUUGAUAACAUAUGCAUCAUGAAAAACACUACUUAGUGUCAAAUAAUGUGUACAAGCACUUCACAUGCACUGGCGAUAAAUAGUAUACAUUGUGUAUAUGAACAGAACAAAAAUAAAAGAAGAGGCACAUAAACUACAGUCCGGCAAGUGGUAUUAAGGAUUCUGUUGUGUUUGAUGGCAUUGUUUUCUCAUAGUUUUUUCCUCCAGCCUCUUCUGUACAUUGUUAUGAAAGUUUCUAAUCAUUCUCUACUCUAGUUUGUGUUAAAAUCUACAAUGAUGUUCUUCAUUUGGGCUCUGAGACAAAAGUGUGUUGGAAGUCUAAAAAAAAAAAAAAAAGCAUUUAACUUAUUUCCAAUAUUAUUAUUUCCUGAAACAAGAGCAAGAGAUCCAAGCAGUGAUCAAGACAAUAGAGGACAAGCUUCUCCAGCCAUAGAGGCAAUGGUCCUUUGGAUGGUUUUUAUUUUGGAGGACCAUGAAGGCACUUCUAAGAGAGCACAAAGCAAGAGAUCUCUCUGGAUAUGUUCCUCCAAGAUACAUGGCCAGUUGAUAACUGAUCUUUCUUCAACGCAGAAGUCGUUAUUGUCAAAGAACGUAUAACAGUUGUGGUUGUUGCAUUAAAGUAGUAAAAAAAAAAUUACACAGGCAACAUCAGUAAAACUAGGUAACAGAGUAAUUUGGAGAUGGAUCAUUUUAUUAAUUAAACUCAGAAUUAUUCAAAAUUGAUUCUGAAAGGCAAAACUCAAUCUUCUGUGAAGGAAUUCUUGCCUUUAUAAACUUUUUGCCAAUAACCUAGUUUUGGAUAUAUGUGACAUGCUUCCUGAAUUAUUUAUUUGGAGCUCAUACUAAACCACCCAUAAUGCACUCUCCUCCUAGUAGACUGACUUAUACAACAUAUUCAUCUUAAAUGGGUCUAAGCUGUAUAUGUAUAUGUAUAUUUUAGCUAAUGGAAAUUUAAACAUAUCUUAUUUCUGUACUUUUAUAUCUUUAAAACCAUAGUACAUUUGGCCUUCUGUGGUCUUUACUGUAUGUAUAAAGCUGAAGUCCUACAAUAUUAUUUUUGUUGUUGUUGUAAAUCUUGUCUUUAUGGAAAGAUUUUGACAUAUAUUCAAAUUUUAAAAAAGUAAGAUGACACAAAAGGUACAGAAUAGGCACUCACACCACUUCAUCUCAUUGAAGUGGUCUGGGUGCAGUAUCCCUUUCCCCCAUUGUCCUGCAAUGUACAACAUUGCAGGUUUAUAAAUACUACAAUGUUUUUAUUGCAAUACUAAGACUACCUCUAGUGGCUAUCUGCCAGUCAGCAACUAGAGGCGCUUCCUUGAGUUUACAAUGCUGGGUGUCCUCAUACUGUGCAAGAAGACAUCUAGAGAGGCAAUGCUUUCCUAUGGGGAAGGCAUAAAGGUCAUGCAGAAAUCACUGCAUAGGAACCUUAGGUCGGAGAAGGAGGCAGACUGCAACCUAGCACUGGAAUUGAGUACGUGAAUGAAGGGUUAUUGA
rnacentral:lncRNA from 1 species